rnacentral:rRNA from 1 species
UACGUAGGCAGCGAGCGUUGUUCGGAAUUACUGGGCGUAAAGAGUGUGUAGGCGGUGUUCCCAGUCUGUUGUGAAAUCUCCCGGCUUAACUGGGAGGGUGCAGCGGAAACUAGAAUGCUAGAGGGUGGGAGAGGUAAGCGGAAUUCCUGGUGUAGCGGUGAAAUGCGUAGAUAUCAGGAGGAACACCUGUGGUGUAGACAGCUUACUGGACCACUUCUGACGCUGAGACACGAAAGCGUGGGUAGCAAAUAGG